rnacentral:misc_RNA from 1 species
GUGAGGUUUGAGUGAGUCAGUCUCCCUGGCAAGUCAGAUCAAACCGCUCCGCAGUAGUGUGUCGACCGCGGUGGAGUGAAGGUUAUAUAAACACUCGUAUACUGAAGUGUGAUAAUUAAUUAACACACCUGUGGCUUACCUGGUACUUCCCCCACACCUGCAUCACACACCUGUCUAAUUACCUGUAUUGGUAAGAUCAGCACACCUGCCCGUGCAGAACAGAGUGUAUUGCCCUUACCUGCCAUUACAGUGAGGUUGUUUAUGGAGCGAUGAUCCCAGAUCCUGACUACAGUGACGAAGAAAGAGACACAAACAAGCCAACAGCCACUACCAUGGUUGAGAGGAAUAAUCAAGUCAACUCUAACGACGAGAAUCAGGAGCAACAGAA